UGGGGAAUAUUGGGCAAUGGGCGAAAGCCUGACCCAGCAACGCCGCGUGAAGGAAGAAGGCCUUCGGGUUGUAAACUUUUGUCCUAUGGGACGAAACAAAUGACGGUACCAUAGGAGGAAGCCCCGGCUAACUACGUGCCAGCAGCCGCGGUAAUACGUAGGGGGCAAGCGUUGUCCGGAAUUACUGGGCGUAAAGGGUGCGUAGGCGGCAAUGCAAGUCAGAUGUGAAAGACCGGGGCUCAACCCCGGGGUUGCAUUUGAAACUGUGUUGCUUGAGUGCAGGAGAGGUAAGUGGAAUUCCUAGUGUAGCGGUGAAAUGCGUAGAUAUUAGGAGGAACACCAGUGGCGAAGGCGACUUACUGGACUGUAACUGACGCUGAGGCACGAAAGCGUGGGGAGCAAACA
rnacentral:rRNA from 1 species